rnacentral:rRNA from 1 species
UACGUAGGGGGCAAGCGUUGUCCGGAAUUAUUGGGCGUAAAGCGCGUGUAGGCGGUCCACUAAGUCGGCUGUGAAAGUCCAGGGCUCAACCCUGGGAUGCCGGUGGAUACUGUCGGGCUCGAGUCCGGAAGAGGCGAGUGGAAUUCCUGGUGUAGCGGUGAAAUGACGUAGAUAUCUGGAGGAAUACCGGUGGCGAAGGCGGCAUCCUGGACCGACAUUGACGCUGAUGAGCGAAAGCUAGGGGAGCAAACGGG